rnacentral:rRNA from 1 species
CCUACGGGGAGCAGCAGUGGGGAAUAUUGCACAAUGGGGGAAACCCUGAUGCAGCGACGCCGCGUGAGUGAAGAAGUAAUUCGUUAUGUAAAGCUCUAUCAGCAGGGAAGAAAAUGACGGUACCUGAGUAAGAAGCCCCGGCUAACUACGUGCCAGCAGCCGCGGUAAUACGUAGGGGGCAAGCGUUAUCCGGAUUUACUGGGUGUAAAGGGAGCGUAGACGGCAUUGCAAGUCUGGAGUGAAAGGCGGGGGCUCAACCCCCGGACUGCUCUGGAAACUGUACGGCUGGAGUACAGUUGAGGUAGGCGGAAUUCGUGGUGUAGCGGUGAAAUGCUUAGAUAUCACGAAGAACCCCGAUUGCGAAGGCAGCUUGCUAAACUGUGACUGACGUUGAUGCUCGAAAGUGUGGGUAUCAAACAGGAUUAGAUACCCCGGUAGUC